rnacentral:rRNA from 1 species
GAUGAACGCUGGCGGCGUGCCUAAUACAUGCAAGUCGAGCGAACAGAUGAGGAGCUUGCUCCUCUGACGUUAGCGGCGGACGGGUGAGUAACACGUGGAUAACCUACCUAUAAGACUGGGAUAACUUCGGGAAACCGGAGCUAAUACCGGAUAAUAUAUUGAACCGCAUGGUUCAAUAGUGAAAGACGGUUUUGCUGUCACUUAUAGAUGGAUCCGCGCCGCAUUAGCUAGUUGGUAAGGUAACGGCUUACCAAGGCAACGAUGCGUAGCCGACCUGAGAGGGUGAUCGGCCACACUGGAACUGAGACACGGUCCAGACUCCGACGGGAGGCAGCAGGAGGGAAUCUUCCGCAAUGGGCGAAAGCCUGACGGAGCAACGCCGCGUGAGUGAUGAAGGUCUUCGGAUCGUAAAACGCUGUUAUUAGGGAAGAACAAAUGUGUAAGUAACGAUGCACGUCUUGACGGUACCUAAUCGGAAAGCCACGGCUAACUACGU